CUGUGUGCAUUCUGAGGGUAUUAGUUUUGACCCUGCCUGUUUAUCGUGUUUACAAAUGUUUGCUACCUGCCCUGACCUAUGCCCGGAUUGACUACUGUUUUUGGAUUUCCUUUGAUGAUGUUGUUUGCCUGAUGUUUGACCCAUGCCUGUUUUGGAUAUUGCCUAAUAAACCAGCAUUUGGAUCUGACCUGUUCCACGUGUGUGACAGAAUACUUCGCCUGACAAGCUCGAGCGGUUUAUUUCAUACACCCUGGUUUCAUCAGUACAUCAGCCAUAAACCAAACAACUAAAUCCAGCAUUCCCAGUAAGUCUUCUGGCACCUUUUAUUACUCAUCUAAGGAUUCAGCAGUGAUAUCUUCCCAUUCCGAUUGGUGUGUUCCCGUACCCCGACAUACCGAUACAGUGGCACACAAGUUCAAGUGUUUCUCCCCUCCACUGAGGAAGAAUGGUGGGACAGGUUGGCCGACAGGUUGUCUCUCCACCAACAAGGACGAGUGGUGAAUUGUUUUGCCCAAUUAUUCUAGACAUGUGUGGUGGGUUUGAACCUCAGCGACUUGGAAUUAUAGUUGUACUUAAAUGACUGUUUGGAUGAACUUUUGUCUCAGGCAGAAAUGCAAAGCUUACAAAUUUUGGACUUUUGGGGUUUUGUCAGUAAUUUUAGAAAGCCGUACCAGAUGGAACUUAUGGGAAACCCUGGAUGGAAAAUCCAUUCACAAAAGGGCCGCCACUAUGCCGGUCUCUGCUGCUAAAAUAGCUGCUGCCAUGCCUGCCUCUGCUCCCAAAAUGGCCACCAACAUGCCUGUCUCAGAUCAUAAAAUGGCUGCUACUAUGCCUGAACCCUUGUCUAGGAGGGCAAUCAGAAGAAAACGCUUCGCAAGCAAGACUGCUGUGUCUGCACCUACUCCUAAAAUGGCUACCGUUUUACCUGCACCUGUUUUCAAGAUGGCUAUUCCCGAAUCUACACCAGCUGUUAAAUGAGCCACUAUCCUGACAACACCUGUCCCUCAGAGGGCCGUUACCAUCCUUUCACCUGUUGUCAAGAUGGCUGCCAUUCCUGCCUCCCAACCACUUCACAAAAUGGCUGCCACAUCCGAGCCACUCCACAAAAUGGCUGCCUCACCUACCUCUCCUGUUCCUGCAAAGCCUCAACUACUAGUGUCUACUCUACUGGACCCCCAGAUGACGUCUGUACAGGUGUCUAAGGGUCAAAAUCCAGUUAUGUCAAGUUUAUUGAUCCCCAGGGCUACAGAGGCAGUUCCCAAAUCCAUGACUCAAUCAUCUGACUCUCCUGAGCCUUCUGGGCCCUCUGAAUUUUCUGGUGGACUAUGAUGGUCCACAACACCUUACUUCAGAUGAUGUAGUGAUGUGACCUCACCCACUGACAAGGCCAAGGGUGCACUGCAACAGCAGAAACAACGUAAAUACAGUAACACUUGUUGAUUACAAUUUUAUAUUACAUGCCAGCAUAUUUACCCAGUAUGAUCAUGUCGCAGGAAAUUUCCCCUUUUGCUUUCUAUGGUAGACAUUUUUUGGUGUGUGUUUCUGCAAUGUUUUGACCUUUCUUGUUAAGUCCCGCCUUCAUGCACGCCAUUGGGCCGAGGGCAAUGACUGCUUCUCAAUCAUUGCCCUCGGCCCAAUGGCAUCAGCCGAGACAAAGCAGCAGCCUGUUAACUACAGGUGGCCCAUCAUGGCUCCAAAACAGUGUAAAAAUGCCUCAAGGAAAAAAUCCCUGUUUUUGUUUUGGUCGGGAAACGUGCUCAUUGACAUGGCAAAUAAGCUAAAACACGGAGCGGAUUAGGUUUGCUGGAUUAAUUACAGGUGAGUUUGUUUUCAAAAAUCGUAAGUGACUUUUAAGUAGCUUUGUGUGUAAACGUGACCGUUUAGACAACACAUUCUGCUGUAUGAAUGCAAUAUAGAACAGUGACAACAAAACAAUCAUGGACCUUGAUGUUGAGUGGUGAAUGGUAAGUGUUUAAAAAAAAUCUGUUAACCUGUCAUCCAACAUAAUUUAAGUUAAUUGGCAACAGGUGAAUACAAUUUUUUUUUAAAUCUUAUUCUUAAUGUUUGAUGCAAGUUGCAUUAAAAAGUAUUAGGUUUCAGAAUUGUGGUGUUGUUGUUUUUAGAAGGUUGCUUGCCUUUCAAUCAUUUAAGAACACUCAUAUGCACCAACGGAUUUCAUCUUAUGAGGUGUGUUACCUUUAACCACAUGGAUGAUGUAUUCAUGCAAAUUUUGUGAUUGCUCUCUGAAGACCGUUAAGGGAUAUGCUAAUCAUCAAAUCUUGCACCGACAUGAAGCAAAUGCUCAAUUUCCAUGUUGCUUCCCAGAAUGCAAAUGUAAAUUCUCAAAAUACAAUGCUCUCAAAGCUCAUGUUUAUCGCCAUCACAAAAGACCACAUACUCAUUUUGCUGAUUUGACAGGCACGUUUGUUUGCAACAAUACAGACUGUCCACAACAAUUUACAGACAUGAACAAUGUCCUUUCUCAUCUCAGGUCACAUUUAUCCAAGGGAGAGGUGGUGUAUUGUCCUUUUGAAAAAUGCGACAAAAAAUUCAGUUUAAGAUCAAGUUUCACUGCCCAUGUUUCACGAAAGCACGGGACUUCUAUGUUUGCACAGUUAUGGAUUAUGGAUACUUUAUCUAAGCAACCUUCUUCAGCAUUUUUUGAUGUUACUGAGGAUGAGGUUGAUGAAAGUGAAUUCACAGACUCGCUGACGAAAUGUAACGCAAAGUCCUUGUACAUGAAAAAUCUCUGCCUGUUUUAUAUGCAGCUACAAGCCAAAUACCUGGUGCCAUCCUCAACCAUUCAGAUGAUUGUGGAGGAAUUCAGUGGAUUAAAUUAUCUGUCAUCAGUACACACACAAGAUGUUCAGGGAAAUACUCAAGUCAAAAACGGCCCUCUCACAAUGUGAUAUUGAAUCUGUGGUGCAGACUUUGCAAGGCCAAUAUUCACAUUCAGCUUGUAAUUCAUUUCUUUCCACAGAAUACCAAAGAAGACAGUAUCAGAAAAAAUUUUUGUACAUGCAUCCACAAAGUGAGAACCGAAACCUACGUUAUGCACAGUAUAUUCCACUGAAGAACACUUUAAAAACCAUGUUAAUAGACCCAGUAGUGUGGGAGCAGUGUGCCAAACAUCAGCAUGUACCACUCUUCUGUGUUCUUUGACAUCUGUGAUGGCUCUGUAUUCAAAUCCAAUGACUUGUUUAAGCAGCCUGAGAUUACAAUCCAACUUAUCUUGUACCAGGAUGCCUUUGAGAUUGUGAAUCCCCUUGGGUCAACUAAAAAAAGACACAAAAUGAUUGGAGUGUAUUUUACACUGCCACUUUGAGCCAUUUUACAGAUCAUGCAUUGAUAACAUUCAGUUAUCACUUUUGUGUCAUGAGAGACUUUAACUAUUUUGGUCAAACCAAGAUUUUUCCUAAGUUGUUGGCAGAUGUCAAAGAACUUGAAGAGCAUGGAUUUGUGACAUCUUCAGGUGACAUAGUACGUGCAACAAUAGUGGCUAUUAUCGGUGAUAAUUUGGGGUCCCACUGCAUCGGUGGUUACUCACAGAACUUCAGUACUGCGAAGCAUUGCUGUAGGUAUUGCUUGGUAUCUCGCAGUGAACUUCAGAAUGUGUGUAGACUUUCCCAACCGCACAGUUGAGUCCUAUAAGGCGGCAGUGGAAACUCUAAGGAAGUCCAUUUUCAACUCUAUCAAAUAUUUUCAUGCUGCUCAGCCUGGCCUUCCCCCAUGCCUUGGCCACGACUUGUUUGAAGGCAUUGUAGCUAUUGACCUUGCCAUUUUCUUGGAAUACUUUGUAAAAAGGAAGUGGUUUUCAUGUACACAGCUGAACAGGAGACUUGCACAAUUCAAAUAUCUGGAUUCUGAUGCUGGUUCUGCCCCCUCUCAGAUGUUAAAUGUGAAAAAGGCAGAAAGUUAGGUGGUCGAGCAGCUGAGAACUGGUGUCUCCUCAAAUUUCUUCCUGCCAUAAUUGGAGACAGAGUAGAGUCACAAGACCCUGUAUGGCAACUGACUGUUAAGUUGAAAGAACUGGUUGAGCUAGUGUGUGCUCCCAAGAUUACCACUGCACAGAUUGCAUAUCUCAAUGUCUUAAUACCAGAAUAUCUGGAAACAAGAAAGGAGCGGUUUCCUGGUGAAAAUUUGAAACCAAAACAUCAUUACAUGCUUCACUACAUCACUCAUUUUAAGUCUUGGACCUUUAAUUCAUUUAUGGUCAUUUGAUUUGAAAGCAAACAUUCCUACUUCAAAAGAAGUGUGAGAAGAACACAGAACUUCAAAAAUGUAUGCAAGACAUUGUCACACAACCAUCAACUUCUUCAAGCAUAUCUUCACUCACUGUCAUUUUUUUCACCAAAGCUUAAAAGUGACUUGGCCACAUACUCUCCUCAUUUGUACAGUGAUGCUGUGUGCAAAGCUGUUGAGACAAGCUUGCUUUAUGAACCACACUUUGUUUCAACACGGGUAGAAUACAAGGGUACCCUGUACAGGAAAGGAAACUUAAUUUGCCUUAAAUGUGAAGGAGUAUUCUAUUUUACAGUUUGGACAGAUUGAGCUGAUUUUUGUGAAGGAUGAUGAGAUGACUUUCCUUGUGACUCCCCGCCCAUCAGUGUAUUUGCAUGAUUAUGGACUUUAUGAGAUUUUGCCUGCGACAAAGGAAUUAAUUUGUGUAAAUGCUGAGGAAUGUCUGGAUUAUUAUCCCUUAAAUGAGUACAGUUUUAUGGGACUGAAGGUCAUUACUCUGAAGCACAGCAUUCAUCUGUAAAAAGGAUAAACUGUCCUCUCCCAACAGAAAUGGAUGCAUUGACUUUUAUUGAGAAUGUGUUCCCAAACCCUAUAAGUUCAAAGCUAGCCAGAGAGGGUUUGAACAGCCUAGGUGUGGAGACCAUAGAUGACCUACAGUUUUUGAAAGAUGAUGAUGAGCUUUCUGAGACCAAUUGAAGCAAGAAAACUAAUAGCCCAAAUCCCAAAUAUUGCUUCCACUCUGCAAAACCCUGCCAAUGAUUUGUCUGCUGAAUACACUUCACCUGCUCCUGGAUGCUCAAUUUCACCAUCCAGCUCUUCAAGACGUGACAGUAGCUGUGAAACUUCGUUUUAUGACCAUGACUGGCAUUAUUGUUUUGAUGUUCCAUGGCAAAAAAUGGCAGCAAGUUUUAUGAAAAAGUAGGCCAAGUUGCUCUGAGAGAAGACAGUUGGUCCGCAUUGUUGCUUCUGAGAUCCUGGAUGUCAGCAAAUGUCCAGCAAAAUAACGUAUCAGAAAUAGCCCGACAAAUGGUGAUUGCAUACCCAAAGUCUUUCAGAGAUGAGAUUAAUUCCCAGGUUUUAGGAAGUGGAUAUGAUUCUCUCCUCAAACAACUGGUGUGUAGAAUUGACAAUUUUAAAUGAGCAAAAGCUAUUAGUACACCACUUUGUGGUACUCGAAGUAUCAAUAAAGAAACGAAAAUUGUUAUAUGGUUGUAUAAAUUCUGAUCCACAACUGCUAGUUGGAGAAACAUCCGAAUUGCAGCAGGAAAAGAAAGAAGUUGCUAGUACUGUUUCAAAAUAAUGAAAGUGAUGUAAAGACAAUCUAUGACUUAAUGACUUCUACUUACACCUCUCAAAGAAACAACAUCCAAUCUGAAAAGGAAACCAAAGAUUUACUUGAUGAGUGGCCAUAUCUUUUUCAGCCUGCAGGAAUUAAAGCACACUUUAAAGAGCUCACUGGCAUUGACAUAAACAGAUUUGAAGAAUCUGCUUCCAGUAAGUUCAGAAGAAUAUUGGAGUACUUUCAAUUUCAGUGCACAGAAAGAGCAAGCAGAGCAGGGAGAAUCCUCACAAAGUAUAGAGCUGGAGGGGAUGAUGUUUGUGGGGCAGUGAUAUUGCUGCUAACCCAUUUCAAAAAUGACCAAGACCACUUUCUUGUGAUGGUAGAAGACACCUCUGUUCCAAGUGAUAUAUGCUCAGAACAGCUUCCAGCAACACCAUGUAUAGUAAUGUGUGGAGAGAACCCACUGACAGCCAGUGUGUACAUGGUAGCAGUAGACCAGAUGAUUGUAAAUGACCAUCUCUUGAGUUUUACAGAAGCCCUGUAUCUGAUGUUCUCUCUUUACUAUAUAUUGAACAUCAGUUACCCUGUAGAACUGGGAGCCACACUAGAAUUCUUGCAAAGGUGCAUCUUUAGGAUAAAUCCUCAAAGGUACCAAGGUGGAAAAGAGAGAGAGAAAAAGAGAGCGUACUCUGUCAACCCCAGAGUAUUGAGUCUGACGUCAAAAACUGCUGCAUUUGACUGGGGAGAGUAACAGAUGUGGUCUUUCAGAAGAUUGACAUUUCGCUGAAGAACAGGACAGACCGACUUUUUGUAAAUCAGUGCAGCGCUUUGUUCAUUUUUAUUACCAUGUGAUGAACUUCAAAAUUAUCAGAGUCCAGGCCCAGUGUUUUUGUUUAUUUUGAAUUGAACACAUUUGUGUUCUGAAACAUGCUUUAUCCAUUUUCCCCAUGUGACAUGUUCAGGAUUAUCAGAAUCCAGGUCGACUUUUUUUUUUUUAAUUGAACAAAUGUGUGUUCUAAAACAUGACUUUUGCUGGGAAGUGUUUUUCCAUUGUUUGUUGAAGGUUUGCUAUAUAAUAAAAAGCUGAAUAUACUCUGGCUACCAUAAUU